AUUGAACGCUGGCGGCAUGCCUUACACAUGCAAGUCGAACGGCAGCAUAGGAGCUUGCUCCUGAUGGCGAGUGGCGAACGGGUGAGUAAUAUAUCGGAACGUGCCCUAGAGUGGGGGAUAACUAGUCGAAAGACUAGCUAAUACCGCAUACGAUCUACGGAUGAAAGUGGGGGAUCGCAAGACCUCAUGCUCCUGGAGCGGCCGAUAUCUGAUUAGCUAGUUGGUGGGGUAAAAGCCCACCAAGGCGACGAUCAGUAGCUGGUCUGAGAGGACGAACAGCCAAACUGGGACGGAGACACGGCCCAGACUCCUACGGGAGGCAGCAGGGGGGAAUUUUGGACAAUGGGGGCAACCCUGAUCCAGCAAUGCCGCGUGAGUGAAGAAGGCCUUCGGGUUGUAAAGCUCUUUUGUCAGGGAAGAAACGGCUCUGGAUAAUACCUGGGACUAAUGACGGUACCUGAAGAAUAAGCACCGGCUAACUACGUGCCAGCCGCCGCAGUAA
rnacentral:rRNA from 1 species